rnacentral:rRNA from 1 species
GACUCAGCGAAGUUGAAAUGUUUGUGAAGAUGCAAUCUACCCGAGGCUAGACGGAAAGACCCCAUGCACCUUUACUGUAGCUUUGCAUUGGACUUUGAACAGAUCUGUGUAGGAUAGGUG